UUUCCGUAGGUGAACCUGCGGAAGGAUCAUUAUCGAAAUACUUAUUUAGCGUUCCGUGCUAUCCCAUUGUUUUAUUUACCCUGUUGCUUCCACUGGAUGAGUUUCCAUACCUUGUGUUUGAGAAACUUUGGCUUGUGUAAGAUUCAUUCACGGCCAGCCAGUGAGAAGACCAUUUACAAAACCCUGUUAAGAACCAAUUGUCUGAAUAUUUUACUCCAAUGAAAUAAAACUUUCAACAACGGAUCUCUAGGCUCUUGCAUCGAUGAAGAACGCGGC
rnacentral:misc_RNA from 1 species